rnacentral:rRNA from 1 species
GCGGUAAUUCCAGCUCUGUAAGCGUAUACCCAAGUUGUUGCAGUUAAAACGCUCGUAGUCGGAGGUUGGCGGGCGAGACGGGGCGUCUUCGCGGACGGACCCGGGUCGGCCGCCUUUGUGGAGGGGGGCGCGUGGCCGCUUGAGUGCGGUUACGUUGUCGCUGCCACCGUUUACUGUGAAAAAAUUAGAGUGUUCAAAGCGGGCGUUUGCCAUGAAUACCUUAGCAUGGAAUAAUAGAAUAGGACCUGUGUCCUGUUUUGUUGGUUUGUGAGGACUGGGUAAUGAUUAAGAGGGACGGUUGGGGGCAUUUGUAUUCCGGCGUCAGAGGUGAAAUUCUUGGAUU